rnacentral:rRNA from 1 species
CGUGAGAUGUUGGGUUAAGUCCCGCAACGAGCGCAACCCUUGCCAUUAGUUGCCAUCAUUAAGUUGGGCACUCUAAUGGGACUGCCGGUGACAAACCGGAGGAAGGUGGGGAUGACGUCAAGUCCUCAUGGCCCUUAUGACCAGGGCUUCACACGUCAUACAAUGGUCGGUACAGAGGGUCGCGAAGCCGCGAGGUGGAGCCAAUCUCAUAAAACCGAUCGUAGUCCGGAUCGCACUCUGCAACUCGAGUGCGUGAAGUCGGAAUCGCUAGUAAUCGCAGAUCAGCAUG